rfam:Streptomyces scabiei 87.22 complete genome
GCCUGUCGUGAACGGCUGUCCAGCCGGGUCGCGACACAAGACAGAACACCGUGUCACGGGAACAACGUGACACUUCAGGGCGUU